rnacentral:rRNA from 1 species
CCUACGGGGGACAGCAGUGGGGAAUAUUGCGCAAUGGGCGAAAGCCUGACGCAGCGACGCCGCGUGAGGGAUGAAGGUCUUCGGAUCGUAAACCUCUGUCAGCAGGGAAGAACGGUCACUGUGCUAAUCAGCAGUGAAUUGACGGUACCUGCAAAGGAAGCACCGGCUAACUCCGUGCCAGCAGCCGCGGUAAUACGGAGGGUGCGAGCGUUAAUCGGAAUUACUGGGCGUAAAGCGCUCGUAGGCGGUAUGUCAAGUCAAGGGUGAAAUCCCCGCGCUCAACGUGGGAACUGCCUUUGAAACUGGCAAACUGGAGUGUGUGAGAGGAUAGUGGAAUUCCAGGUGUAGGAGUGAAAGCCGUAGAUAUCUGGAGGAACAUCAGUGGCGAAGGCGACUAUCUGGCACAUAACUGACGCUGAGGAGCGAAAGCGUGGGUAGCAAACAGGAUUAGAUACCCUAGUAGUC